rnacentral:rRNA from 1 species
CCCUUAGAUGUUCUGGGCUGCACGCGCGCUACACUGAAGCUAUCAACACGUUUUCCCUCCCUGAGAAGGGCGGGUAACCUUUUGAAUCAGCUUCGUGGUAGGGAUCGGGGCUUGCAAUUGUUCCCCGUGAACCAGGAGUUCCUAGUAGACGCGAGUCAUAAGCUCGCAUCGAUUAAGUCCCUGCCCUUUGUACACACCGCCCGUCGCUACUACCGAUUGAACGUUUUAGUGAGGCAUUUGGACCGACGCAUCUCAGUUUAACCGCUGGUUUGUGUUGGAAAGACUUCCAAACUUGAGCGUUUAGAGGAAGUAAAAGUCGUAACA